GAGCAUCGUAGACACGACGCGCGGCAG
rnacentral:sRNA from 1 species